rnacentral:tRNA from 1 species
CGGGGUGUGGCGCAGCUUGGUAGCGCAUCUGCUUUGGGAGCAGAGGGUCGCAGGUUCAAAUCCUGUCACCCCGAC